AUUGAACGCUAGCGGGAUGCCUUACACAUGCAAGUCGAACGAGCGGCGGACGGGUGAGUAAUAUAUUGGAACCUGCCCUGUAGCGGGGGAUAACUACUCGAACGAGGGCUAAUACCGCAUACUAUCGGAGAAACCCAUAUGGGAUUAGCUAGUUGGUGGGGUAAAGGCUCACCUAGGCGACUAGCCCUAGCUGGUCUGAGAGGACGAACAGCAACACUGUGACUGAGACACGGCCCAGACUCCUACGGGAGGCAGCAGUGGGGAAUGUGGGACAAGUGGGGGUAGCCUGAGGCAGCCAUGCCGCGUGUAGGAAGAAGGCCUUAGGGUUGUAAAGUACUGUUAGCAGAGAGGCGUUAUCUGCAGAAUAAGCACCGGCUAACUACGUGCCAGCAGCCGCGGUAAUAC
rnacentral:rRNA from 1 species